AAUAUAUGGCGCCGUUGACUUUUUGUCCAACGUUUGACUAUUCGUCUUAUUUAAAAAAAUUAUGUAAUUAUUAUUUUUUUUACUGUGACUCAUCAUUCAAUGUUCUUUAAGCAUGACAUAAAUAUUUUCAUAUUUGCACCAAAAAUUUAAAUAAAACGAAUGAUCAAACGUUAGUCGAAAAGUCAACGGCGUCGUACAUU
rnacentral:pre_miRNA from 1 species